rnacentral:tRNA from 1 species
CAGGGAAUAUAUCAAUAGGUAGAUUAUCUGCUUUGGGAGUAGGGGGCUGUGGGUUCAAGCCCCACUUCCUUGA